UACGAAGGGGGCGAGCGUUGUUCGGAUUUACUGGGCGUAAAGGGCGCGCAGGCGGCUUUGUUUGUCAGGCGUGAAAGCCCCGGGCUUAACCUGGGAACUGCGUUUGAUACGGCAGGGCUAGAGUUCGGGAGAGGAGAGUGGAAUUCCCAGUGUAGAGGUGAAAUUCGUAGAUAUUGGGAAGAACACCGGUGGCGAAGGCGGCUCUCUGGACCGAUACUGACGCUGAGGAGCGAAAGCGUGUGGAGCGAACAGG
rnacentral:rRNA from 1 species